AUUCUCUACAGGCUCGCUUUGGAAGGAUAUAUACUAAGAUUGAACUGAUACAGAAAAGAUUAGCUUGGCUCUUGCACAAGGAUGACAUGCAAAUUAGUGAAGUGUUCUU
ensembl:snRNA U6 U6 spliceosomal RNA